rnacentral:piRNA from 1 species
AGAACUGUGUGAAAUGACACUCGCU